UGAGUGUUGACACUUGCUAAGAUGCGUGUGC
rnacentral:piRNA from 1 species